ACCUCGAUUAAAAUAUGAUGAAGAGCACAAGAGCAGCGUUUUUUCGUGCCAUUUUCAUUGUCUGGAGGUAAAUUCGGGUUCGAACCGGUUAUUAUAAAAUUAUUGCCGUUCGAUUUGCGGAGAAGAAGCUGCUUGAGAUGAUCGAUCGGUUCAGCUAUUUUAUCGAUGACACGAGUGCAGACCGUUACAUGAGAGAUGGCAAUGAAGGGUAAAAUAAAAAGAGAGUGCAGAGAUACUCCGAGAGAUAUUCUGCGAUGGUAGAAUAAAUUUUAUAAAUUAUCUGACGUAUGGGAUGUGAAAAUUUGUCAUUUAUACAUUAUUACAGGUAAACGAAACGCGGCAAAAAAAAUGUCUGCAUCACAAUCCGCUGCGAAAAACAAACACAACACACAGAAUAAUUUGAAUCAUCAUUUUUAUCGUUCAAAAUAUAAUUAGGAAUAUCGCAAAAAUGAGAUGAAAAUCGCGACGCGAGUUUAGUUAAUAAUUGUUCUAACAAAGUGAGGCAAUUGCUGUAUAUUAAAAAUU
rnacentral:lncRNA from 1 species